GUUGUCCGGAUUUAUUGGGCGUAAAGAGCGUGUAGGCGGCCAGGUAGGUCCGUUGUGAAAACUGGAGGCUUAACCUCCAGCUGUCGAUGGAAACCAUCUGGCUAGAGUCCGGAAGAGGAGAGUGGAAUUCCUGGUGUAGCGGUGAAAUGCGCAGAUAUCAGGAAGAACACCCGUGGCGAAGGCGGCUCUCUGGGACGGUACUGACGCUGAGACGCGAAAGCGUGGGGAGCGAACAGG
rnacentral:rRNA from 1 species